UAAUAAAGAAUGGGUCAAAGAAUUCUCACUUCAUGCUGCAUAACAGUACAUUUCAGUUGUAACAAAACAAAUUAUCUGAUGAAAGCUUCAACCACAGGAACAUGAGGAAUCUAGGAAAGGAUGUCAAGUCCAAAGAGAAGGCCAUAUAACAAAUAAUUGCUAAAUUCAUGAAGACUAGCUGGGAUGAUACAGUACUUUUCUACUCUUAUGAACCAUAUUUAAACAUAAUUUGAGGAUCCCUUUCUCAAAAAAAAAAAAGAAUUUGCAUAUUCAAAGACUCUAUAGUUUAUUGUUUAUUUGUACAUUGUUUAACAUUCUUCUUGAGAAUUUUUCACUCAUAUGGGGAUGUCAACAUUUGCCA